rnacentral:rRNA from 1 species
GAGUUUGAUCCUGGCUCAGGAUAAACGCUGGCGGCGUGCUUUAUGCAUGCAAGUCGCACGGGUCUUGCCCUUCGGGGUAAGGCUAGUGGCGGACGGGUGAGUAACACGUACGUAACCUGACCGGACGUGGGGAAUAACUCGCCGAAAGGCGAGCUAAUACCGCAUACGGUCGCCGGUGAGACACCGGUGGACAAAAGCCUUCGGGCGCAACCGGAGGGGCGUGCGGCCGAUUAGCUAGUUGGUGUGGUAAUGGCGCACCAAGGCGAUGAUCGGUAGCUGGUCUGAGAGGACGGCCAGCCACACGGGGACUGAGACACGGCCCCGACUCCUACGGGAGGCAGCAGCAAGGAAUCUUGCGCAAUGGGCGAAAGCCUGACGCAGCAACGCCGCGUGGGGGAUGAAGGCCUUCGGGUCGUAAACCCCUUUUGCAGGGGAAGCAACUGACGGUACCCUGCGAAGAAGCCACGGCUAACUACGUGCCAGCAGCCGCGGUAAUACGUAGGUGGCAAGCGUUGUCCGGAUUUACUGGGCGUAAAGCGCGCGCAGGCGGCUUGCCACGUCUGGGGUGAAAUCUCCCGGCUCAACCGGGAGAGGUCUUCAGAUACGGGCAAGCUAGAGGGGAGCAGAGGAGAGUAGAAUUCCCGGUGUAGCGGUGAUAUGCGUAGAUAUCGGGAGGAAUACCAGUGGCGAAGGCGACUCUCUGGGCUCUCCCUGACGCUGAGGCGCGAAAGCGUGGGUAGCAAACCCGGAUUAGAUACCCGGGUAGUCCACGCCCUAAACGUUGGGCACUAGGUGUGGGAGGUAUUGACCCCUUCCGUGCCGCAGCUAACGCGAUAAGUGCCCCGCCUGGGGAGUACGGCCGCAAGGCUAAAACUCAAAGGAAUUGACGGGGGCCCGCACAAGCAGCGGAGCGUGUGGUUCCAAUUCGAUGAUACGCGAAGAACCUUACCAGGGCUUGACAUGCUGGUAGUACCUGACCGAAAGGAAGGGGACCCUUCGGGGAGCCAGUGCAGGUGUUGCAUGGCUGUCGUCAGCUCGUGCCGUUGACGGUGUUGGGUUAAGUCCCGCAACGAGCGCAACCCCUGUCGCCAGUUGGAUUUCUCUGGCGAGACUGCCGGGAGCAACCCGGAGGAAGGCGGGGAUGACGUCAAGUCCGCAUGGCCCUUACGUCCUGGGCGACACACACGCUACAAUGGCCGGUACAACGGGUCGCGAAGGUGCGAACCCCAGCUAAUCCCUAAAAGCCGGCCCCAGUUCAGAUUGCAGGCUGCAACCCGCCUGCAUGAAGGUGGAGUUGCUAGUAACCGCCGGUCAGCACACGGCGGUGAAUGCGUUCCCGGGCAUUGCACACAC